rfam:Vibrio cholerae O1 biovar eltor str. N16961 chromosome I, complete sequence.
UCGAUUUUAAGAUAACUUUACGUGGAUGGCUCUCUGCGUUUAUUUAUAUAUCUUCAGAGUAGAACGCAAUG